AUCGCACUCUGUUAAAGCCUGGCACCAACGUUGGUGUUUAGGUGUCGGAAGUGUGCAAGAGUAACCCGGCCAGGUUUUCGCUAACACCAUGAGGGCUGCGUUCCCCAUGACUGGCGUUUGAUAGUCACUAUGGCCACAUUU